GAUGAACGCUGGCGGCGUGCCUAAUACAUGCAAGUCGAGCGAACAGACGAGGAGCUUGCUCCUCUGACGUUAGCGGCGGACGGGUGAGUAACACGUGGAUAACCUACCUAUAAGACUGGGAUAACUUCGGGAAACCGGAGCUAAUACCGGAUAAUAUAUUGAACCGCAUGGUUCAAUAGUGAAAGACGGUUUUGCUGUCACUUAUAGAUGGAUCCGCGCCGCAUUAGCUAGUUGGUAAGGUAACGGCGUACCAAGGCAACGAUGCGUAGCCGACCUGAGAGGGUGAGCGGCCACACUGGAACUGAGAAACGGUCCAGACUCCUAAGGGAGGCAGCAGUAGGGAAUCUUCCGCAAUGGGCGAAAGCCUGACGGAGCAACGCCGCGUGAGUGAUGAAGGUCUUCGGAUCGUAAAACUCUGUUAUUAGGGAAGAACAAAUGUGUAAGUAACUAUGCACGUCUUGACGGUACCUAAUCAGAAAGCCACGGCUAACUACGUG
rnacentral:rRNA from 1 species